AUUUAAUUAGUAUAAAAAAGUAUUACAAGUUUCCAACUUGAAGGUUCUCCUGAAUUAAAUA
rnacentral:tRNA from 1 species